rnacentral:rRNA from 1 species
CAGUCGCCACGGUAAUACGAAGGGGGCUAGCGUUGUUCGGAUUUACUGGGCGUAAAGCGCACGUAGGCGGACUUUUAAGUCAGGGGUGAAAUCCCGGGGCUCAACCCCGGAACUGCCUUUGAUACUGGAAGUCUUGAGUAUGGUAGAGGUGAGUGGAAUUCCGAGUGUAGAGGUGAAAUUCGUAGAUAUUCGGAGGAACACCAGUGGCGAAGGCGGCUCACUGGACCAUUACUGACGCUGAGGUGCGAAAGCGUGGGGAGCAAACAGGAUUAGAUACCCCGGUAGUCCCUGUCUCUUAUAC